UACGUAGGGUGCGAGCGUUGUCCGGAAUUAUUGGGCGUAAAGAGCUCGUAGGCGGUUUGUCGCGUCGGCCGUGAAAUCUCCACGCUUAACGUGGAGCGUGCGGUCGAUACGGGCAGACUUGAGUGUUGCAGGGGAGACGUGGAAUUCCUGGUGUAGCGGUGAAAUGCGCAGAUAUCAGGAGGAACACCGGUGGCGAAGGCGGGUCUCUGGGCAACACUGACGCUGAGGAGCGAAAGCGUGGGGAGCGAACAGG
rnacentral:rRNA from 1 species